CCUGGCGGAGAUAGCGCGGUGGUCCCACCUGACCCCAUGCCGAACUCAGAAGUGAAACGCCGUAGCGCCGAUGGUAGUGUGGGGUCUCCCAUGCGAGAGUAGGGAACUGCCAGGC
rnacentral:rRNA from 1 species